rnacentral:misc_RNA from 1 species
GUUCGAUUUGUUGCUGUUGUAACGAAUUCUCCUGCUGUUGAGUCUGGUAGUACACAUGAGCUGGAGAAACUUGAGGUUGAUGCAAGAUCUGUGGUGAUUGCAUUUGCAUGUGCAUGGGGCUUUGUAGCAAAGGAACACUUUGCUCUGACUGGGGCGAAGCUGGAACAAUUGGCCUAACAUGUUGUGGAGGACGAGGAAGCUGAGGGGGCUGGAGUGGCUGCAGCUGGGUGACGGAUGGUAUAGAGUGAAUGGCAGGAAGAUGUUGUGAGAUGCUAGGGAGCUUUUCAUUGUGGUAUGGAGCUGAACUGCUUCCAUAAAAACUAACAGGCACUGAUCCAUGUCUAUUGAAUAACAAGGGUGGUGCUAAUGGAGGUGGAGGAUAAGUUGUUAAAAUGGGACCAGAUGUUGAAACAUUACCUGAUCGAACAUCACUUGAAUGUGCAUUGGAGGUCUGCUGAAGCUCAUUAGUUCCAACACUUUGAUUAUAAACUGGAGUCUGGGAAGUUAGAUUCGUUAAUGACGAUAAAUUAGAAAGGCUAAUUGUAUAUGGGGGUGGAGUUGGAGGAAGUGGUGGAAGAGGCCUAACAGGUCCCCCAGGUGAAGAAAGUGAAGUCCGACCGAACUUUGAAUCUGGC